UGGCGGCAGCUAACACAUGCAAGUCGACGCGGAAACGACACUAACAAUCCUUCGGGUGCGUUAAUGGGCGUCGAGCGGCGGACGGGUGAGUAAUGCCUAGGAAAUUGCCUUGAUGUGGGGGAUAACCAUUGGAAACGAUGGCUAAUACCGCAUAAUGCCUACGGGCCAAAGAGGGGGACCUUCGGGCCUCUCGCGUCAAGAUAUGCCUAGGUGGGAUUAGCUAGUUGGUGAGGUAAUGGCUCACCAAGGCGACGAUCCCUAGCUGGUCUGAGAGGAUGAUCAGCCAUACUGGAACUGAGACACGGUCCAGACUCCUACGGGAGGCAGCAGUGGGGAAUAUUGCACAAUGGGCGAAAGCCUGAUGCAGCCAUGCCGCGUGUAUGAAGAAGGCCUUCGGGUUGUAAAGUACUUUCAGUUGUGAGGAAGGGGGUAGCGUUAAUAGCGCUAUCUCUUGACGUUAGCAACAGAAGAAGCACCGGCUAACUCCGUGCCAGCAGCCGCGGUAAUACGGAGGGUGCGAGCGUUAAUCGGAAUUACUGGGCGUAAAGCGCAUGCAGGUGGUUCAUUAAGUCAGAUGUGAAAGCCCGGGGCUCAACCUCGGAACUGCAUUUGAAACUGGUGAACUAGAGUACUGUAGAGGGGGGUAGAAUUUCAGGUGUAGCGGUGAAAUGCGUAGAGAUCUGAAGGAAUACCAGUGGCGAAGGCGGCCCCCUGGACAGAUACUGACACUCAGAUGCGAAAGCGUGGGGAGCAAACAGGAUUAGAUACCCUGGUAGUCCACGCCGUAAACGAUGUCUACUUGGAGGUUGUGGCCUUGAGCCGUGGCUUUCGGAGCUAACGCGUUAAGUAGACCGCCUGGGGAGUACGGUCGCAAGAUUAAAACUCAAAUGAAUUGACGGGGGCCCGCACAAGCGGUGGAGCAUGUGGUUUAAU
rnacentral:rRNA from 1 species